rnacentral:ncRNA from 1 species
UGCAAAUCGAGGAUUGAGACGAGUAGGCAAGUGGAUCCAUUUUAGAGAGUCAGCGGCUGGUGGGAGCUGAUUGGAUUGCUUGCGCGAAUGGACUUAGGAGAGCUGGCCUGAAAGCGGAAGCGAGUAAGGGAGACGUAGGCCCUGCGUUAAAGGGAAAGGCGAAGAGCCUGUUUUAAGUGAGUGCAAAAUUGCAUUAAUGCGUGGUGGUACCGCGGUUUACCCCCGUCCCCGCA